rnacentral:lncRNA from 1 species
GUUGGAGAUCCAGAAAAUAGCUGGCUGGGGGUUUCAAAGCCUAAUAAUAAAAGCCGAAACGGGUAUGAUCCUUCAAGAUUUACAAGGCCCUUUUCUCAUCAUAUUCUUGGGAGGUGUCACAAUCCUUUAAGCUGCUUCCUCCAUCAAGAGGCUGAAUGCGUCCAUCUCUGUCUAUCUAGAAUUCACUGUGGAUGGUGGAAGGCUCCAAGAUGGGGAUCAGAAUCUCUCCUCCAUAAAGAAGUGGAAAAUUUUUAUUCUAAAGGGUUGAACAAAGAAUACUCAGUGGAAGUUUCCAAGAAUCAUAGUUUGGAUCAAUACAUAGAAUGGAGAUCCCCAAGUCUUCCUCAAAGUGAUAACUACUCCAAAUUGCAACAAAGUACUUCAAGAUGUAAUCAAUUUUCAUGUAAUUGUAUUUUUUCAAGUAGUUUU